rnacentral:rRNA from 1 species
AAAUAAGUUAAAACUUUCAACAACGGAUCUCUUGGUUCUGGCAUCGAUGAAGAACGCAGCGAAAUGCGAUAAGUAAUGUGAAUUGCAGAAUUCAGUGAAUCAUCGAAUCUUUGAACGCACAUUGCGCCCGCCAGUACUCUGGCGGGCAUGCCUGUUCGAGCGUCAUUUCAACCCUCAAGCCCUGCUUGGUGUUGGGGUCCUACGGCUGCCGUAGGCCCUGAAAGCUAGUGGCGGGCUCGCUAUAACUCCGAGCGUAGUAGUAAAAUAUCUCGCUAGGGAGGUGUCGCGGGUUCCGGCCGUGAAAGCCCAUCUUUUACACAAGGUUGACCUCGGAUCAGGUAGGAAUACCCGCUGAACUUAAGCAUAUCAAUAAGCGGAGGAAAAGAAACCAACAGGGAUUGCCCCAGUAACGGCGAGUGAAGCGGCAACAGCUCAAAUUUGAAAUCUGGCUUCGGCCCGAGUUGUAAUUUGUAGAGGAUGCUUUUGGUGAGGUGCCUUCUGAGUUCCCUGGAACGGGACGCCAGAGAGGGUGAGAGCCCCGUAUAGUUGGACACCGAGCCUCUGUAAAGCUCCUUCGACGAGUCGAGUAGUUUGGGAAUGCUGCUCAAAAUGGGAGGUAUAUCUCUUCUAAAGCUAAAUACUGGCCAGAGACCGAUAGCGCACAAGUAGAGUGAUCGAAAGAUGAAAAGCACUUUGAAAAGAGGGUUAAAUAGUACGUGAAAUUGUUGAAAGGGAAGCGCUUGUGACCAGACUUGUGCCCGGCUGAUCAUCCAGUGUUCUCACUGGUGCACUCUGCCGGGCUCAGGCCAGCGUCGGUUCU